AGCCUCUGCGUCGUUUUCCCGUGUGGAGCACACUCUGACUUUCGGGAGGAGAAGAGGGGGCUGUGGCUCAGAGGCACAACGAUUAAAGGCACUGCUGGAAUUCAAGUUCAACUGAAAGGCCUGUCUGAUUCCAAACAUCAAUGUCUUCACAUAACCCCUUUGGACUGCGCACAGGGGCUGCUUUCCUAGUUAACAAGGCUAAAUCACCAGAGAA